CCAGACCAGCCCAGACUCAGACCUGUGAGGUACAUCCUGAUCGGCUCAGCAGCACCAGUCCUGCUGGGAGGGGAAGGCAGAGCUCAGCUUGUUUUGCUCCUCACACGGCUGACAAGAUAGAGGCAGGAGAAGGACUCCCAGCUUCUGCACCCUGCCACAGAAAAACAAUGAUCCAGCUGCCAUAUCUGGAGGACUCCAGCAGCAGAGGGCCCCACACAGCAAGCGCCUGCAGCCCCCAUUAGAUCCCUGGCAUGGAAGAGCUGCCAGACUCCUGCAAUGGGACUUCAGGGAGCAGGAGAUGCUGGCAGGGCACAUCUCUGCAGACCAACCUCUUCUCCCAGGCAACUAGACAAGGGGAAAUGGUGUCAAGUUGCACCAGGGUAGGUUCAGGUUGGAUAUGAGGAAAAAUUUCCUCACUGAAAGAGAGGUUAAGCACAGGAACAGGGUGCCCAGGGGAAGGGUGGAGUCACCAUCCCUGGAAGUGUUAAAUAAACAAGCAGACAUGGCACUGUGCCAUAUAGUUUAGUGGCCAUGGUGGUAUUAGGUCAAAAGUUGGACUUGGUGAUCUUGGAGGUCUUUUCCAAACUUAAUGAUUCUACGAUUCAAUGAUUCUCUCUCUUGCUAUCCUUUGAGGACAAUAGCAGCCCUCACAGUUCCCUCCUCAGGACUACAUUCCUGUGCCCCUCAGGCUUUUGUCUCUCUUGCCGUAUCUAAAAAGACAACUGAAUCUAGACAAAACUGAUCUAUUUUCAGCGCUUGGUCAUACUAGAACAGAAGGUCUGGUGGUAGCCAGCAUAGACACACCCUCCACCUCCAGCGCUAUUAAUUUUCCCCCCUGAGCACGGACAAGAUGGCUGCUGGCGUGGCCAUUGCUCCUCACAAAAUGUCUGCCAUGGUGACCUGCCCUCACUGCAAAAUGGCCGCCACUAGAGUCACCAUCAAGGUUUAGAUGGCUUGUCGCUAUUUUCCCUGCCCCAUGCCAGGAGUUUAUUCUCUCUCCUAUCAUAGUGUGGUCUCUGCCUGCCCUACCUGAUGAAGGGAAGGCAUGCCUGGCUCUUCCCUUUGGGGUGCCAUUAUCAAUCCUCCCACAAGGACAAGGUGGGGAGGAAAGGUCACAGGCUCUCAGGCUCACUGUCACCUUCCCUCACUGCAAAGGGAACUCUUGAGUGCGUUUUUCCCAAAGUGCCAUUUGCUGGAGGUAUGCCAUUAGAUGUUGUUUCAUUCAAGAUACAUGCUUCUAAUCUUACAGGGCUUACACAACACCAAGGCCUUUUCUGCUCCUCACCCCAGCAGUGAGGAGUCUGGGGGUGCACAAGGAGUUGGAAAGGGGACACAGAUGGGACAGCUGACCCCAAAUGACCCAAGGAAUAUCCCAGACCAUAUGUCAUCAUGUCCAGCACAUAAGAAUGUACGGGGAAGAAGAAUGUUUGGAAUUACAGCGUUUGAAUUCCCAAGUAACCAUUGCGUGUGAUGGAGCCCUGCUUUCUUGUGCAUGGCUCAACACUUGCCUGUUCAUGGGAAGUGGUGCAUUAACUCCUUGUUUGUCUUGUUUGUGUGCUGUGCUUUGCUUUACCUAUUAAACUGUCUUUAUCUAAA